AGCGGCGGACGGGUGAGUAAUGCUUAGGAAUCUGCCAUUUAGUGGGGGACAACAUUCUGAAAGGGAUGCUAAUACCGCAUACGUCCUACGGGAGAAAGCAGGGGAUCUUCGGACCUUGCGCUAAAUGAUGAGCCUAAGUCGGAUUAGCUAGUUGGUGGGGUAAAGGCCUACCAAGGCGACGAUCUGUAGCGGGUCUGAGAGGAUGAUCCGCCACACUGGGACUGAGACACGGCCCAGACUCCUACGGGAGGCAGCAGUGGGGAAUAUUGGACAAUGGGCGGAAGCCUGAUCCAGCCAUGCCGCGUGUGUGAAGAAGGCCUUUUGGUUGUAAAGCACUUUAAGCGAGGAGGAGGCUACCUAGAUUAAUACUCUGGGAUAGUGGACGUUACUCGCAGAAUAAGCACCGGCUAACUCUGUGCCAGCAGCCGCGGUAAUACAGAGGGUGCGAGCGUUAAUCGGAUUUACUGGGCGUAAAGCGUGCGUAGGCGGCUGAUUAAGUCGGAUGUGAAAUCCCUGAGCUUAACUUAGGAAUUGCAUUCGAUACUGGUCAGCUAGAGUAUGGGAGAGGAUGGUAGAAUUCCAGGUGUAGCGGUGAAAUGCGUAGAGAUCUGGAGGAAUACCGAUGGCGAAGGCAGCCAUCUGGCCUAAUACUGACGCUGAGGUACGAAAGCAUGGGGAGCAAACAGGAUUAGAUACCCUGGUAGUCCAUGCCGUAAACGAUGUCUACUAGC
rnacentral:rRNA from 1 species